GAGGCCCGGCCCGCCCCCGGGUGUUGCUAGGAUACCGCCCCGGCAUAUCCCCUUACUUCCGGCGUAAGAUGGCGGCGACGAGAACGUGUCCGUCCGUGGUCGAUCGUUACUUCACCCGUUGGUACAAAACAGAUGUAAAAGGCAAACUCUGUGAAGAUCAUUGUAUCUUGCAACAUUCUAAUAGGAUAUGCGUUAUUACUGUGGCAGAAUCUCACCCUGUGUUACAGAGUACAAACAAAAUAAAAAGUAUUAGCUACCAAAUCAGUGCCAACUGCAGCCGAUUACAAAACAAGGUCUCGGGAAAGUCUAAACGGGGUGGACAGUUUCUGACGGAACUUGCCCCAUUGUGCAGGAUAAUGUGUGAAAAUGGUGAGGAGUACACAAUAUACAGCUGUAUCAGGGGACGUUUAUUGGAAGUAAAUGAAAAUAUUCUCCAGAACCCCAGCCUUCUACAAGAAAAGCCCUCCACAGAAGGAUACAUUGCCAUUGUGCUACCCAAGUUUGAAGAAAGCAAAAGCAUUACCCAAGAUUUAAUUAACCAGGAGAUGUAUGAAGACAUUAUUUUAAAGAGAGACAUUUUGGCAGCAGAACAGUUAAACACUGACACCAGUGAUCCAGUAACCCCCAGCGUAGUUUGAACAACUGAAGGUCACCAUUUUGAUUCUGAGUUGCAAGGAGAGACUGGGGUGCUUUUCCCUGGAACGUAGGAGGCUGAGGGGUGACCUUGUAGAGAUUACAACAUCUUGGUCAAAGGAUGAGAUUUUAUAGGAAUAUAUUAAGGAAACAAGCAUUUGCAAAUGGAGGGAAAUUCUAUAAUUUGGGAUCUGGUACAAUACAGACAUAAUAGUAUAAUAAUUAAAAUGCACAAGAGGUUGGAAAGUGCAGAUAACUCAGCAAGAACAAAAGCUGUCGAGCCAUGCCUAAGCAAGGAUUUAACAUAAGAAUUAGUUUUUAAAUAAAUGUGUUCUCUGAAAACAAUCGAAUGAUAGUGAAGAUCAUCAUCAUGCGGUUUGGAUGCAGUUCAAAUGUCUUAGUCCUUGGAACUUGUAGUAGCCAUAUAGCUUAACUCAGUAUGUUAUAACUAUAAACAGUUACCUUUAAAUUUUAUCUGCCUGUAAUUAUGUGGGUGGUAUUUAUUACGUCGUCGGAGGCAUGUUUGUGGCUGGGAUUCUCGCGCAGACGCUACUAGUUUUUAGUUUAGUUUGAAGAAGCAUGGGGGAGUGGUCACAGCUUUCGACAAUGCACGAGUUUGACAACGAGUAAGAUCAAAAUGUUAAACAAGAAGAAGUUUGGAUGAAUAUCUUACUGUUUUUACUACGACAAUAAAGAAACAAUUAAUCAAG